AUGGACGACAACACCAGUACCCUUAAGUCCCUCCUGGAAUCGAUCGUCACGCGCCUCGACGAACAGAAACUUGACAGCGACAAACGGCUCGAGGCCCAGGCCGCCUGCAACACCCAGGUAUCCCAGGAUCUGCGCAACCUCAGCAAACAGACCGACCUUACGCAGGCUGAUGUCGACGAAGCGUGCAAGUCGAUGGAGCAGUCCCCAUCUUCGCACGGAUCCGGCAUGGUUUUCAACCCGCUGCCACUGCGUCCCGCGCCUGCGCCGCAUCACCAAGGCCCACCGCCUUCUCCUCGUCUAGCCGACGAGCUCCCACCCCUACUGGUUCAACCACCCACGCCCGUGCCAGCCGUCACCCAGGCACACAUGGUGGAGAUGGCACCUCAUCCCCAACAACAACCAAACUUCAACCACCAUCCUCGGCAAGCCCGCGACACCUACAUCAAGCCACCGAAACAUGACUUUCCUCGUUUCGAUGGCAGUGCACCUUAUCUCUAG
rnacentral:rRNA from 1 species